rnacentral:rRNA from 1 species
GAGAGGCUCACAGAGACCCGCAUUUCCGUAGGCGAACUGCGGAAGGAUCAUUAGCGAUUGAGGGUCUCUGGGACCGGCCUCGCACAGGUGUCUAUUGUACCUUGCUUGCUCGGGGCCCCCUGUGUCGAGGCCGCGGGGAGCCUUGCGCCGGCCGCCCGCGCCCGCCGAAGACCCCAACAUGAACGCUGUUCUGAAAGUCUGCAGUCUGAGUUGAUUAUCGUAAUCAGUUAAAACUUUCAACAACGGAUCUCUUGGUUCCGGCAUCGAUGAAGAACGCAGCGAAAUGCGAUAAGUAAUGUGAAUUGCAGAAUUCAGUGAAUCAUCGAGUCUUUGAACGCACAUUGCGCCCUGGUAUUCCGGGGGGCAUGCCUGUCCGAGCGUCAUUGCUGCCCUCAAGCACGGCUUGUGUGUUAGCCUCCCUCUCCCGGGGGACGGGCCGAAAGGCACGGCGGCACGCGUCCGGUCCUCGAGCGUAUGGGGCUUUGUCACCUGCUCUGUAGCCCGGCCCGCCAGCCGACACCCAACUUUAUUUUCUAAGGUGACCCGGAUCAGGUAGGAGCCCGCGACGGUCUUUUUC